GUCCUUGUCGAUUAGUGGUUAAAUCAUCUCGUUGUGGUCCUUCACCUUCGGGUGAUCAGCUCCGAGAAGCCGGAAGUUCGAAUCCUCCCUGGGACA